rnacentral:rRNA from 1 species
AGAGUUUGAUCCUGGCUCAGAUUGAACGCUGGCGGCAUGCCUUACACAUGCAAGUCGAACGGCAGCAUAGGAGCUUGCUCCUGAUGGCGAGUGGCGAACGGGUGAGUAAUACAUCGGAACGUGCCCUAGAGUGGGGGAUAACUAGUCGAAAGACUAGCUAAUACCGCAUACGAUCUACGGAUGAAAGUGGGGGGUCGCAAGACCUCAUGCUCCUGGAGCGGCCGAUAUCUGAUUAGCUAGUUGGUGGGGUGAAAGCCUACCAAGGCAACGAUCAGUAGCUGGUCUGAGAGGACGACCAGCCACACUGGGACUGAGACACGGCCCAGACUCCUACGGGAGGCAGCAGUGGGGAAUUUUGGACAAUGGGGGCAACCCUGAUCCAGCAAUGCCGCGUGAGUGAAGAAGGCCUUCGGGUUGUAAAGCUCUUUUGUCAGGGAAGAAACGGUAGUAGCGAAUAACUACUACUAAUGACGGUACCUGAAGAAUAAGCACCGGCUAACUACGUGCCAGCAGCCGCGGUAAU